CGGCCCUUUUGGGGCCUACGGGAUGUGGCACCCACGCUGUGACGCCUUCCCGCCGGGGGAACGAGUUUGCUUUUACAGACUUCUGAGGGCUUCUAGUUUCAGCUCCAACAUGUAAAGAACUUGAAAGUCAUCACUCCCAUCCUUACAACAAGAACAAAGCUGAACAAACUUAAGCAUCAAUGACUUUUCUUGGACUUAUCAGGGAAUUGAGGUUGCAGGCAAACUGCCCUCCAAAAUCUGGAGAGACCAGUAAAUACAGAGAAUCACAGCCAACAUCAGCUUACCUGAAACAGAAGCCUCUGGAACAUCUGAAGCUGGUAGGAACAUCUAAAUGCUGACAGCCCUAAUGAGGUUGCAGCCGCGCCCAGCAUCAACUGUGAAGAUACCUCCAGAUGAUUCCAAACCCCUAGAUGAGGCCCCAGAUGUCAGAGAGCAGAAACAAGCCUCCCUGCAGAUGCGGUUAACACACACUAAAGAGCAAUGCUGUUAGAAGAGCAGAGAAACUUUGGAAAACUCUGCUGUCUGAAAUGAAAGCAAGGCACUCUCCAUUAACAGCUGGUGGAUUCCUGAUUUCUGCCCACAGAAGGCAUGUUCACACUGAGAGAGCUCUCCCACAGGGGAAGAAUCACCUGCUUUAAUUCUUGCUGUCCUCUUCUGAGCUAGUUUGGUCAUCCACUCUGUAUAAACUUGUGUGUCAACAUUAAGACAAAAGAAGAGAGUUGAAUUGAUGGAUUACGUGGGAGGCUCUCAUAGUUCUUACAACUAUGGAAGACAGAAGAACACUGGCUAUAACCUUUAUUUUCAACACUAGUGUUUGGACCUAUAACUAAAAACCUUCAUUCCUUCCGACGAAUCACGGCUAAAAAGUCUUUUCCUUAAAUCUGAUGGGUGUAAAAAUAAAAAGUAACAGCAUUUC